rnacentral:lncRNA from 1 species
GUUUUAGUUUUCGUUUACUAAUAUCACCCUGUUUCCUGUAGACAUCUUUUUGAAGUGAAGAUGAGCUGGAAUGGAGACAGUCGUUUUUGGCAGAACAGCCAUGAAGCUAUUCCAGGCAGUGCUGGAACAUAAAUAUGCACACAGACAGCCCACAGAAAGCGUGGGUGUACUGCCAGACCUGGACGGAGGACGGGUUAGAACAUUUAAAAAAAAAAUAGCCUGAAUAUGAGGUGAGACUCAUGAGGCAGCUAAGUGUGGGAGUUUGUUUCCUCUACAACUUCACUCACUAACUCUUAUUCAUUGAGACGCAGCUAGACAAAACCGUUUUCCUCAUUUGCAUGUAAUUAAAAGUGAUAUCUCACCCAAAUAUUAAAAUGAUGUCAUUAUUUGCUCACCUCAUGUUAACACCUGUAAGAUUUUCUAAGAUCUGUGAAAAUGCAAAAAAAAAAUCUGUAUAAUAAACGUCAAUG